rnacentral:rRNA from 1 species
UACAGAGGUCUCAAGCGUUGUUCGGAUUCAUUGGGCGUAAAGGGUGCGUAGGUGGCGUCGUAAGUCAGGUGUGAAAUCUCGGGGCUUAACUCCGAAACUGCAUUCGAUACUGCCGUGCUUGAGGACUGGAGAGGAGACUGGAAUUUACGGUGUAGCGGUGAAAUGCGUAGAUAUCGUAAGGAAGACCAGUGGCGAAGGCGGGUCUCUGGACAGUUCCUGACGCUGAGGCACGAAGGCCAGGGGAGCAAACGGG